GACGAACGCUGGCGGCGUGCUUAACACAUGCAAGUCGAACGGUGACGCCCUUCGGGGUGUAUCAGUGGCGAACGGGUGAGUGACAAGUGAGCAACCUGCCCCUGGCUCUGGGACAACCACUGGACACGGUGGCUAAUACCGGAUACGACCCGCCUCGGCAUCGAGUGUGGGUGGAAAGUUUUUCGGCUGGUGAUGGGUUCGCGGCCUAUCAACUUCUUGGUGAGGUGAAGGCUCUCCAAGGCAACGACGGCUAGCCGGCAUGAGAGCGGGAACGGGCACCAGAGGACUGCGAGACGCACCAGACGGCAACUUGAGGCAGCAGGGGGGAAUAUGGCACAACGGGGGAAAGCCUGAUGCAGAGACGCCGCGUGAGGGAUGACGGCUUUCGGGUGGUAAACCUCUUUCAGCUCAGACGAAGCGAAAGUGACGGUAGCAGAAGAAGAAGCACCGGCUAACUACGUG
rnacentral:rRNA from 1 species